AUAAUCGCACAGUUUGUCGUGCAGAUACACGAUGUUUAAGCUAUUUAUUUUGUCGUGUUUUAUUGGAGCUCUUGUCUAUGGACAGAGCCCAACAAUGAGUUAUAGCCAUAGAGCAAGUGUUGGGGUGAAUGGUUCUCUGUUUUGGGAGCUCAUCAACGCAACGCAUAUUACAAUGGAGAUCCACGUUCAAACAACCGGUUGGAUUGGUUUUGGUAUUUCACCAAACCCAAACAUGGUUAACGCCGAUAUCUAUGUUGGUUGGGUGAAAGGCUGUACUGGAUAUAUUACGGAUCGACAUGCAACAGCAGAUUCAUUCCCACCAAAAGACACCCAACAAGAUAUAGAAUUAUUGGCGGCGUCAGAAACCAACGGCUGGACUAUGUUAAAGUUUAGACGGCAGCUUGCGGCGUGCGAAACAACUUUUGAUCGUCCAAUCACGGAAGACACACUAAAGCUGAUAUGGGCGUAUGGAACAAGCGAUCCAAUUGGUACAGACAUUGUUGCUGGCAAUUACCAUGGUAUUACAAACAGAGGAACACAGAACUUCAUUCCUCUUCAAUCAAUUCCAAUUUCCCAACAAACUACCGUGCCUGGUGAAACACUUUUAACUUUUGACUUUGUCAAUUCUGCGUUUGCACUGCCUGCAGUUGAUACUUACUACAGUUGUCGGUUGCUUGCAUUUCCCACAUUAAGCAGCAAACAUCACAUUGUAAAGAUAGAACCGAUGAUCACAAGUGGUAACGAGUUGUAUGUACAUCACAUGGUAUUGUACAUUUGCUCUCAACAAACUUUACAGGCCUCUAGCUCGCUUGGCACAACAACACAAUGUUACACAAAUUUACCAACAGACUUUGAAACAUGCCAAGGUGUUUAUAUGGCUUGGGCUAUUGGCGGACAGUCAUUUUACUUACCAAGAGAGGCAGGAUUUUCCAUUGGUGCGACAGGAGACCCAAAGUUUGCAGUUUUGGAAAUUCACUAUGACAACCCUACAAUACGAUCUAAUGUUGUUGAUUCGUCUGGUUUAAAGUUGACAUACACUCCUAAUCUACGAGCCAACGAUGCAGCUAUGAUACAAGCAGGUCGUACCGUGUUUGGCUUAACUCACAUAAUCCCUCCAGGAGCACCGGCUUACAAAAGUUAUGGAGAAUGUACACAAAAUUGCCUUGAAUCUGCAAUGGGGACAAGUAUUAACAAUAUCACAGUUUUUGCAACACUUCUUCACUCUCAUCUUCUUGGAAAAGCAAUUUCUUUGAAGCACUUACGAGGAACAACAGAACUUAAACCAAUAGCAGUGGACAACUCAUAUGACUUUAACUUUCAAGAAAAUCGAUAUUUACCUGAGUACCGUGUGGUGAAACCUGGCGAUUCUUUGCAAGUUGUAUGUACGUAUAAUUCAGAGGGGAAAACUGGCUUUACUUCGGGUGGAUUGGGAACUUCAAAUGAAAUGUGUCUUGCAUUUGUAUUCUAUUAUCCUCAACUGCCGAUAACCAAUUGUGCUACUGCCCCUAGCUUCCAGCUUUUGGUUCCAUACCUUGGAUACAGUUUGUCUGAUUUAAGUUAUUCCAACUUUGAACGCAUACUCAUCUUUUGCUGAAAUAAAUAUAACAAGUGGUACAGAUGCGGGUAUGAAUGUUUUGCAAGCACUAAACAAUAGAACUUGGUCUGCCACAAAUAUUGCCACUUUCAACAAUGAUAUAAAGAAUAUGCAACGAGAUCAGGAAUGUCAUAAAAAUGCAGUCACCCCAGCUGGUGUUGUAACUUCCCUUGUACCACCCCCUAACAUAACCACAGCAUACGUAGCCCCAACAUUGACAUGUAACCCUUCAACACCAGCCGUUACCCAACCUUUGCAAAACUGCAUUACUGGUUCAGCGAAUUCCCUGCAGUUUCCCUACCACGGCAUGCUCUUCAGUUGGCUGGCUGUGAUUAUGAAACUCAUUCUUCCAUAGGUUGAUAUUUUUAUAUGUAGUAAUAUGUUUAAAAGAUAAUGAAAGAUAUUUUACAUGACACAUACUAAAUGGUGUAUAAAAAGUUGUUUAAAACAUUUUAUUUGAUAUGUUUAUUAUAGUAUUAGGUUUUAUGAUUUUGUUUUAUAAGGAUUUGCUUGCAGUGUUUUAUUAGUGAUAAAAAGUAUAUAUACCCAA